rnacentral:tRNA from 1 species
CUUCUGGUGGCUCAGAUGGUAAAGAAUCUGCCUGCAAUGCAGGAGACUUGGGUUCGAUCCCUGGUCAGGAAG